GUUUGAACCGGAUGAAAGUAGUUAGUUAAGGGUAGUUUUGGAAGAACGACGCUGGUCUAUAAGACGCGAGACAUCACAGUCAGCGGUGUGGGGCUUAAAAGAAAAAACGAAGCCGGAGAAGAGGGCUCUGUCUUGGCCGAGCAAACUUAUCUACGAAUCUUUAAGAUGGAUCGAUACCAGAGAGUGGAGAAGCCCAAAGCGGAUAUAACAAUUGACGAGAAUGAGAUUCGCAUUACUAGUCUGGGAAGGAUGCGCAGUUACAUCUCAUAUGCCAUGAGUCUGCUUCAAGAAAAAGGGUCGAAUGAAAUUGUAUUCAAAGCAAUGGGAAGAGCCAUCAACAAAACUGUGACUAUAGUGGAGUUAAUCAAGAGAAGAAUUGUUGGCCUUCAUCAGAUCACAACAAUUGGAUCCACGGACAUAACUGAUACAUGGGAGCCUCUUGAGGAAGGCCUACUUCCUUUGGAAACCACAAGGCAUGUUUCAAUGGUUACAGUUACCCUUUCCAAGAAGGAGCUUGAUAAAUCUGCUGCUGGGUACCAGCCUCCUUUACCUGCAGAACUGGUGAAGGGAUCACCAGAAUUUGAUUAUGAAAGAGAGGGCUCACCAAAUGGCCGAGGUAAGGGUCGCGGUGGUAGAGGGAGGGCAAGGGGUAGAGGAAAUGGAUUUGUUGCCGAGUAUGAAGAUGGUGGUUGGGAUCGCAACAGGGGCCAAGGUAGGGGUAGGGGUAGGGGUAGAGGUAGAGGAAGAGGACGUAGUUCACGUGGCCGUGGGAGAGUAUACAAUGGACCUCCUAAUGACGUGCAGCAAGAUGGAGGCUACAACUAUGAUGCACCUGCUCAAGCCCGUGGCCGUGGCCGUGGAAGGGGCCGUGGAUUUAGAUCAACUGGGCAGAUCCAGGUGGCUGCAUGAGGAGAUAGCUUUGGCAAACAGCUUGUGUGCUUCAUCUGACGAUCGGGCUGGGGAGGAAGCUAACGGCACUGGUGCUCUCUGCAUUUCUCAAUUUCACUCUUGUGCCUGGUUCUCACUCUGAGGUCCAUGUCUGACUGUCUGCUUAUCUUCCUAAGGAAACACUUUUGAGCCUAUGUGAUCAAGCAAAAUUGAGGUCUAGAUCACUGUGACUUGGAGCAGACUCAAAUCAGCAGGCAUUGCUUUGCAGUUCCAGGCUCUUCUUAGGAAUUAGGAUGUGCCUUUUGGAUUAUUUUUCUAAUUUCUAUUAAUAAAUAAGUUUUGUGUUUUUAACUGAUCUAUCUUGAAAUUAAAUGGGAAAUGCUAACAUUUACAAUUUUUGUUGGAUGGUUAAAUUAGAAAUUUACUUAAUGAAUAAUUGCAUUUUAGUUUCCAAUUGA